rnacentral:rRNA from 1 species
GUGUUUAGUCAUACCACCCUGAAUGCACACCAUUUCAUCUGACAUCAGAGGCUAAGCAGGACAGGGCCUCAUUGCUGGAAGGAUGGGAGAGAUUCUGACCCAGUAGAUCUGGGAUGGAACUCU